GAAGGUGGCUUGUAAAGGCUGCUGGAGGUAUCAGAAGUGCGAAUGCUGACAUGAGUAGCGAUAAUGGGGGUGAAAAGCCCCCACGCCGUAAGCCCAAGGUUUCCUGUUCAACGUUCAUCGGAGCAGGGUGAGUCGGCCCCUAAGGCGAGGCAGAGAUGCGUAGCUGAUGGGAAGCAGGUUAAUAUUCCUGCACCGUCGUAUGAUGCGAUGGGGGGACGGAUCGCGGAAGGUUGUCCAACUGUUGGAAUAGUUGGUUCCUGUUUCAUAGAAGGCGCUUAGGCAAAUCCGGGCGCGUAAUUCAAGGGAAUGGGACGAGGAGCUUAGGCUCUGAAGCAAUCGGAAGUGGUUCCAAGAAAAGCCUCUAAGCUUCAGUCAUACGAGACCGUACCGCAAACCGACACAGGUGGGCGAGAUGAGUAUUCUAAGGCGCUUGAGAGAACUCGGGAGAAGGAACUCGGCAAAUUGGUACCGUAACUUCGGGAAAAGGUACGCCCCGGUAGCUUGACCACUUUACUGUGGAAGGGUGAAAGGGUUGCAAUAAACUGGUGGCUGCGACUGUUUAAUAAAAACACAGCACUCUGCAAACACGAAAGUGGACGUAUAGGGUGUGACGCCUGCCCGGUGCUGGAAGAUUAAAUGAUGGGGUGCAAGCUCUUGAUUGAAGUCCCAGUAAACGGCGGCCGUAACUAUAACGGUCCUAAGGUAGCGAAAUUCCUUGUCGGGUAAGUUCCGACCUGCACGAAUGGCGUAACGAUGGCCACACUGUCUCCUCCCGAGACUCAGCGAAGUUGAAGUGUUUGUGAUGAUGCAAUCUACCCGCGGCUAGACGGAAAGACCCCAUGAACCUUUACUGUAGCUUUGCAUUGGACUUUGAACCAAUCUGUGUAGGAUAGGUGGGAGGCUUAGAAGCGGGGACGCCAGUUCUCGUGGAGCCAACCUUGAAAUACCACCCUGGUUUGUUUGAGGUUCUAACCUUGGCCCGUUAUCCGGGUCGGGGACAGUGCAUGGUAGGCAGUUUGACUGGGGCGGUCUCCUCCUAAAGUGUAACGGAGGAGUUCGAAGGUACGCUAGGUACGGUCGGACAUCGUGCUAAUAGUGCAAUGGCAUAAGCGUGCUUAACUGCGAGACUGACAAGUCGAGCAGGUACGAAAGUAGGACAUAGUGAUCCGGUGGUUCUGUAUGGAAGGGCCAUCGCUCAACGGAUAAAAGGUACUCUGGGGAUAACAGGCUGAUUCCUCCCAAGAGUUCAUAUCGACGGGGGAGUUUGGCACCUCGAUGUCGGCUCAUCACAUCCUGGGGCUGUAGCCGGUCCCAAGGGUAUGGCUGUUCGCCAUUUAAAGUGGUACGUGAGCUGGGUUUAAAACGUCGUGAGACAGUUUGGUCCCUAUCUGCCGUGGGCGUUGGAAAUUUGAAGGGGGCUGCUCCUAGUACGAGAGGACCGGAGUGGACGAACCUCUGGUGUACCGGUUGUCACGCCAGUGGCAUUGCCGGGUAGCUAAGUUCGGAAGAGAUAACCGCUGAAAGCAUCUAAGCGGGAAACUUGCCUUAAGAUGAGAUUUCCCGGAGCCUUGAGCUCCUUGAAGGGUCGUUCGAGACCAGGACGUUGAUAGG
rnacentral:rRNA from 1 species